rnacentral:tRNA from 1 species
GCCCCUGUAGCUUAACUGGUAGAGCCUCGCUUCGUAAGCGAGAAGGCGGGGGUUCGAGUCCUCCCGGGGGCUCCA